rnacentral:misc_RNA from 1 species
GAGAGCUUGAGGGAGAGAAGAGACCAUAACAACAACCUUAAUAUUACAGCAAUGGCCUCUGCUUCUCUCCUCAAGAUCUCUCCAGUUCUAGACAAGUCAGAGUGGGUCAAUGGUAAGACCAUUCGCCAACCUUCUGCCUCUGUGGUUAGGUGCCACCAGGUUUCACCCUCUGCCCUUUCUGUCCGUGCUAGCUCAUAUGCUGAUGAGCUUGUGAAGACUGCGGUACGUGUUACUGUAUUUAUUUGUAUUCUCUUCAGUUAGUAGCAUCCGGUUUGUUUUAUUAAAUUUCCUAAGCUUGGUUAGCCUUGUCUUUACGGAUGAGGAUUAUCCGAGUUUCAGUCUUUCUAUUUAUUUAAUUUAAAAUUUAUCACCGAAAAAAAGAAAGGGUAUCUCGCUAUAGCCGCUAUUGUUAUCUCAGUUCAUUAGCUUUCAUUGAUUUUUUGUCUUUUAAAUAAAAUUACUUGGCAAUCCAAAUGGUCGAUACUGCUAAGAUUUAAAUUAGAACUUUACUUGUUGGUACAACUUGAUGAUUAGAAAUGGUUUAGAUGCUUAUUCAAGUCUUAAUCAGCAAUAAAUUUCAGCUCUGUCACAAGAAACAAAUUCCAUUAACUGAAAUGAGAUGGGAAUUGUUGAAAUGUCUGUAGAAAACAAUUGCAUCUCCAGGCCGUGGAAUCCUGGCCGUGGAAUCCUGGCCGUGGAUGAGUCAAACGCCACUUGUGGAAAGCGUUUGACCUCAAUUGGGCUAGAGAACACU